CUACGGGAGGCAGCAGUGGGGAAUAUUGCACAAUGGGGGAAACCCUGAUGCAGCAACGCCGCGUGAGUGAUGAAGGUUUUCGGAUCGUAAAGCUCUGUCUUUGGGGAAGAUAAUGACGGUACCCAAGGAGGAAGCCACGGCUAACUACGUGCCAGCAGCCGCGGUAAU
rnacentral:rRNA from 1 species